CACGACGGCGCUUCAAGCUGGAGGAGUUGUUGGCGUGUUUUGAGGUCGUAGGACCGUCCAGCAUCUUGCCGGGCUUUUUCUGUGAUUUCGGGUUCUUUACAAGAAAUCUGCUGUGUGAUUCUCUUGGCGUACAGGCACCUCAAGAUUCUUGUAUUGAUGGAAGAGGAGACGCCGGCUCCACCAGUGGCAGCUGUCUUUUCUGGUCCUGAAUAUAAAAAAAGAUGCAAAAGUCCGUCCCUAUCUGUUAAGCUGAGGGGUGGUGAGUCCAUUCACAAAAGUAACAUAAUGCUGCAAAAUUGAGAGACUGUCCGCUCGACACUUGCUGGCUGAGCCAUGGAGUCCUGCUUCCUUUUUGAGCAUUUAAAGAGGUGGAAGCAAGAGUGUUUCAGCUUGUGGCUCACUCAGUUUCUGCUGCUGCUACUACUACCACCACCCCACCAGAAGAUAUCACCAUUGAAUGCACUGGCUGACCAUGAGAAAUCUGAAAAACUGGAGGGUCGGAUUAUGUUGGUGGUUGCACAUCAAGUUCAAGGUCCGACACCCUGAGUAAGGAUUUAAACUUCACCGAUGCCCCUCAAGCUCUAGCACAGUGAUCUGGCUGUAGUUUGUGUUCACAAACCCCUCCCCUGGACAUCCCAUCUGAAAAGUGAAUGUCCGUGGGACAAUAAAUGUGAACCUGAUCGACAGCUAUUGACUAAACGCAUACUAUCUGGAGACAGCUGGUCAACAUACUAGACUACAUGGCCUGUACAAUCCAAUAUCUCUUCUUAGGACACUGGGUUUCUGGUCCAAACUUUGGGUCCUUUGCAGAACCUGUUUGGAAUCGACAACUAAACUAUUGUCUAGUACAUGUUUGUUGGGAGAAUACAACCUCUACUAGGCUAGAGAUUUGAACCCCACGCACUUGCUGUGUCAAGAAUGGUGGUUGACAUUGUGAAUUUCCAGCCUUUUUUGCAUACUUGCAGUCCAUCCUCGCCACUAGUAAAAUCACACCGGUUGCUGAUAGAAAGGCUUCUGUGCUGGAUUGGCCACAUGCACAUAUAGUGAUGGCAACUAAUGUUGUUCCUGUGUAUGUUGUCUGCUGCCAAGGUGUGUGGUGUUGGGUGUUUUUUUUUUUUUUUUUUUUUUUAAACUUGUACUGGAGUUUUGUGGUUUUUCUUUUCUGCUCUCCCAAGUUGUACCUGUACCUUGUCCAGAAGGCCGUGGAAAAGGGCCCACUAGUCUGGUGUACACCUGAGAUGACUGCAACGUCGCGUUUUUUUAUAUAAUUAUUCCUCGCUUUUCUGCAUAUACAUAAUUGGGCAGUGGAGAAUAUGGCAUGUGCUAUUUGGAGUAUCAUUAGCUCUCUGCCUAAUCUCUAAAGGACACCGAGGUGAGAGUUGAAAUGAAUCCAAAUCAUAAUAUACAACAAGUAGAAUACAUUUGAUAUACUGAAAUAUUACAUAAGGUAUAAUUGAUACAUGUUUGUUUAUUACCACUUAGGAUUUCUUUAUGGUUUGGUUCAGCAGUGGUGAUCUUGGUCCCUUGUGGUUUGCAGAACACUGCUAGGUGGCUCCCUGUGGUGAUGUAUGUCUUUCUCCAAGUUUUACAAUUCUGGGAUUCUUUCUCCUUUUCGUAUAUCUGUGAGGAAGCUUUUCAUUCGUAUUUGGCAUCCUUAGUUUGUAAAGUGUGUCGGGGUGGGGGGGUUAACACAUGGAUCUCAACAAUGUAGGCCAGUGUACGCUGUAGCAAGGCACUAUAAAAUGGACAUUCAGAAACCGGACCCUGAAGUCCACACAUUUCUAUUGAAACAUUCACUGCACAAGGAGGCCAAGAGCUCACUCGCCUGUAGAUAAAUGACGUCCUUGUUGUUCAUCCUUGCGUCUUUAAUCGGCAUGUCUCUUAUUUUUAUAUAUUUUUUAUAUAUAUAUAAUUUAUUAUAUACACAGUGAUCCCUUGCUAUAUCGCGCUUCGCCUAUUUCCUCUUGUCCAUUUGAUAUCUUCCUGAUCUUCAUUCUUCUCCCCUUUUAUAUACAUCUAUGCAGAAGCUUUUCAUUCCACGGACAUAUCCUUGGUUUCUAUAACGUUUUCUUACAAUAAUUGAAAAUUUCACGAAAGAUAAGAAUGGCUUGCAAAAAAUGCAGCUGCAUGACACCACCACACAAUGUCUGAAGGAGACAAAAAGUAAAAAGGUGAAAUGACUUCUUUACUGUUAGAUGCUGACUAAGCCGUAGCCACUAGGAGGCUCACCUGCCGAGGUGUCAGCCCAUUAUAUAGCGCCUUUGAGCUCAGACAAAGUGCAGUCAGGGUGGCACUGAAUUCACAUCUUAGUUGAUUGCAGUCCAACACCCUCACCACUAAGCCAAGCCCGGUGGUGACGAUAGAACUGAGUCCAGAGGCUUUUGGACCCCUUAGAUAGGGGGCAGCUUCAAAGCCCUGACCCUGACUGGCCCCGUUUCUCCCAGUAAGCGGCAGCUGCAACCUUGCUAGGGGUAGGCUGGCCGAUCACUAACACGAAGUUCAGCUAAAGGCCAGGAUCUGAGUUCUGCGUAGGCAAGUGUGACUUAGUGCUGAAGUGCUGCACUGGAAACAAAGAUCUCAGUUUUAAUUCCUAACUAAGUACAAUCGCCACUGGGACUCGACUGAACCUCCAGUUAUGGAUCUCGACAAUAGGCCGGUGUACGCCGUAGCAAGGCACUAUAAAAUGGGCAUUCAGAAACCGGACCCUGAAGAAGUCCACACGUUUCUAUUGAAACAUUCACUGCACAUGGAGGCCAAGAGCUCACUCACCUGUAAAUAAAUGACGUCCUUGUCGUUCAUCCUUGUGUCUUUAAUUGGCUUGUCCUUAAAAAAACACACAGCAGUACAGUGUGAACAGCAGCACUUGGCUCGGCACAUCCUGAAAGAGAGCAAGACAUCCAACUGUAGUAAAGGUCAGUGACCUCCUCCUCUAACCCGGCAGUAACCCCCAUAUUUCCAUCUGUAACGACUCCUGGUUUCGUCACACUGACCUGCAUGCACCCAUUUAAUGGUAAAUCAUCCCAUCACAACCAGUCAUAAUGGUAGGAG